UGCAUGGUUGUCGUCAGCUCGUGUCGUGAGAUGUUGGGUUAAGUCCCGCAACGAGCGCAACCCUCGCCUCUAGUUGCCAGCAUUCGGUUGGGCACUCUAGAGGGACUGCCGGCGACAAGUCGGAGAAGUGGGGAUGACGUCAAAUCAUCAUGCCCCUUAUGACCUGGGCUACACACGUGCUACAAUGGGCGGUACAAAGGGCUGCGAACCCGCGAGGGGGAGCGAAUCCCAAAAAGCCGCUUUCAGUUCGGAUUGCAGGCUGCAACUCGCCUGCAUGAAGCCGGAAUCGCUAGUAAUCGCGGAUCAGCAUGCCGCGUCGAUACGUUCCGGGCCUU
rnacentral:rRNA from 1 species